rnacentral:rRNA from 1 species
GACGAACGCUGGCGGCGUGCCUAAUACAUGCAAGUAGAACGCUGAAGGAGGAGCUUGCUUCUCUGGAUGAGUUGCGAACGGGUGAGUAACGCGUAGGUAACCUGCCUGGUAGCGGGGGAUAACUAUUGGAAACGAUAGCUAAUACCGCAUAAGAGUAGAUGUCGCAUGACAUUUGCUUAAAAGGUGCAAUUGCAUCACUACCAGAUGGACCUGCGUUGUAUUAGCUAGUUGGUGAGGUAACGGCUCACCAAGGCAACGAUACAUAGCCGACCUGAGAGGGUGAUCGGCCACACUGGGACUGAGACACGGCCCAGACUCCUACGGGAGGCAGCAGUAGGGAAUCUUCGGCAAUGGACGGAAGUCUGACCGAGCAACGCCGCGUGAGAGAAGAAGGUUUUCGGAUCGUAAAGCUCUGUUGUAAGAGAAGAACGAGUGUGAGAGUGGAAAGUUCACACUGUGACGGUAGCUUACCAGAAAGGGACGGCUAACUACGUG